UGGGGAAUAUUGCGCAAUGGGGGAAACCCUGACGCAGCGACGCCGCGUGCGGGAUGAAGGCCUUCGGGUUGUAAACCGCUUUUGAUUGGGAGCAAGCCUUUUGGGUGCGUGUACCUUUCGAAUAAGCGCCGGCUCACUACGUGCCAGCAGCCGCGGUAAUACGUAGGGCCCAAGCGUUUUCCGGAAUUAUUGGGCGUAAAUAGCCUGUAGGCGGUUCGUCGCGUCUGGUGUGAAAGCCCAUCGCUUAACGGUGGGUUUGCGCCGGGUACGGGCGGGCUAGAGUGCAGUAGGGGAGACUGGAAUUCCCGGUGUAACGGUGGAAUGUGUAGAUAUCGGGAAGAACACCAAUGGCGAAGGCAGGUCUCUGGGCUGUUACUGACGCUGAGAAGCGAAAGCGUGGGGAGCGAACAGG
rnacentral:rRNA from 1 species